rnacentral:rRNA from 1 species
AUGAGAUGUGUUAAGCAGAAAGGCUUUAGUGAACGUUGGCAACAAUGGGUCAAGUUGACUGUGUAAGGUGGUACAUUCUCAGUGAAAAUUUACAACACUUGUGGUCCUUACUUUGGGAUUUCUGGAGAUGUACGACAUGGCAAUCCUUUGUCUCCUUCUCUAUUCAGUUUGACGGUUGAUAGCCUGAACCAUAUGAUCAACAAGGUGCAACAAACUGGCAAGUUGGUGGGUCUAGUGUCACAUCUGGUUAUCGGAGGCAUUUCUAUCUUGCAAUAUGCGGAUGAUACAAUAUUCUUCAUGCAAGAUGAUGUGGAGCAAGCAGUACAUAUGAAACUAAUUCUGUAUCUAUGUAAGGCGAUGCCUAGGCUAAAAAAUUAA